GAGAGUGUGCUGACCUUUUCAAACUUCCGACUUGAUCCCAUCCCGCUGGUUUCCAAAAGCAAUGGUCGCCGCCGCCGGAAACUCAUCGGCCACCAUGAAAUCCCCUGCCAGUGGAAGUCUCGCGUUCGUGAAUUCCAAAAAACGAAAAUCCCACAGAAACCCAACUAAUAAAUCCGAAAAACUCCUUCUGAGCGACCCACUGCUUCGCCGUCUAUCUUCCGCCGCCGCCGCGACCCGCUCCUUCAUCCAAACCAACGAUCUCUUCCUCCCUCCAUCCCAGUCUCUCCGCAUCGAAUCUCUCCUCUCAUCUCUCCCAAUCGCUCCUUCCCACUCCACCUCCACUUCCAAUUCCACGUGGUUCCACCGCUUCGUAAACUCCGCCUCAGAAAACGACGAUCCUCGCUGGCAUCACUGUUUCCGAAUGUCGAAGCCAACUUUCUUCAAACUCCUCUCCGUCCUCUCCUCCUCCGAUCUUCCGCCCCUUCCUUCAUCCUCCCUCGCGGCUACACUCUUCCGCCUCGCUCACAACGCUUCCUACAGCUCUCUCGCUCAACGAUUCGGGUUCGAUUCCGUCUCCGACGCUUCCCGCGCUUUCUUCGCCGUCUGUAAGCUCGUACACGAGAAAUUAGGGCAGCUCGACGAUCCCAAACCUGAUUUUUCCCCUCGAUUGCUCCCCAAUUGCUGCGGCGCGUUAGGAUUCGCGAGAUUCGAUGUAGACGGGGAGCUUCUCGAGUCGCUGAUCGUUCAAGCAUUGGUCGAUUCCGCCGGCAGAUUCGCAGAUAUCUCAGCUGGAUGGCCGAGCACGAUGAAGCCAGAAGCUAUCCUCCGGCAAACCAAGCUUUUCUCCAUGGCGGAGGAGGAAUCUAGAAGCUUCUUGAAUGGAGGAGCUCCGUGCGAACUUGGAGACGGUGUAUCGGUGCCUCGUUACAUUCUCGGAGAUUCUCGUCUUCCUUUGUUGCCGUGGCUCGUGACUCCUUACAGUUCAAACGAGGAGGAAGAAGAUAGUUUCGAAUUCAACAACUUGGCUCGCGCUGCGUUGCGUGCCGUUGAGAUUGCGUUUGCUAAGGUUCGAACCCGGUGGCGGAUUCUCGAUAGGAAGUGGAAACCGGAGGUGGUCGAGUUUUUGCCGUUUGUCGUGACUACUGGCUGCUUGUUGCAUAAUUUUCUUGUGGAUUGUGGAGACGGUGAUUUACAGGAAGAGUGUGUGGUGGCUCGUGAUGAUAGUGAGAUGAUGAAAGAUGAUGAGUGCGAGGAGGACACGAGGAGGUAUGAAGGAGAAGCAUAUGUUGGGUCGAGCAGGAUCAGAGAUGCUAUUGCAGAGAACCUGAGCCGGGUGACUUCGUCCGAGAAUUUGUAAAUUGUGCAAGUCCAGUUUAGUAUGCAGUUUCUGGCUCGCGGUUAAUAGAUAACUUUGUGGGAUCUAGGGAUGAAUCUUUGCUCUCCGUCUCCUUGUUCCCAAGUCAAACUUCCUUGUUGACUCCCAUUUCCUCCUCUGUUUCCUUCUUCUGUUCUUGCUCAUCUCUUCCAUUCUUCUUGCGGAAGUACACUUUCUGUAACAUAUCUAUUCUCAUAUCCAAACCCAAUUGGAUAACAUUAUCGAGCUCAUCAUGAAGAAGAAC